rnacentral:misc_RNA from 1 species
GAUGAAGAACGUAGCGAAAUGCGAUACGUAAUGUGAAUUGCAGAAUUCAGUGAAUCAUCGAGUUUUUGAACGCAUAUUGCGCCCUCUGGUAUUCCGGGGGGCAUGCCUGUUCGAGCGUCAUUAAAUAACCCUCAAGCAUAGCUUGGUGUUGGGCUUUUUUACGUCCUUGACUGGGAUGGGCCUAAAAAUUAGUGGCGAUGGCUUUUUUACUUUCAAGCGUAGUAAAUCUCGUCUUGCUAAAGAGGAAAAAGAUUUUUUUUCUGCCAAAAAUUUUAACAUUUAAAGUUGACCUCGGAUCAGGUAGGAUUACCCGCUGAACUUAAGCAUAUCAAUAAGCGGAGGA